UAGGGAAUCUUCGGCAAUGGGGGCAACCCUGACCGAGCAACGCCGCGUGAGUGAAGAAGGUUUUUCGGAUCGUAAAGCUCUGUUGUAAGAGAAGAACGAGUGUGAGAGUGGAAAGUUCACACUGUGACGGUAACUUACCAGAAAGGGACGGCUAACUACGUGCCAGCAGCCGCGGUAAUACGUAGGUCCCGAGCGUUAUCCGGAUUUAUUGGGCGUAAAGCGAGCGCAGGCGGUUAGAUAAGUCUGAAGUUAAAGGCUGUGGCUUAACCAUAGUACGCUUUGGAAACUGUUUAACUUGAGUGCAGAAGGGGAGAGUGGAAUUCCAUGUGUAGCGGUGAAAUGCGUAGAUAUAUGGAGGAACACCGGUGGCGAAAGCGGCUCUCUGGUCUGUAACUGACGCUGAGGCUCGAAAGCGUGGGGAGCAAACAGGAUUAGAUACCCUGGUAGUCCACGCCGUAAACGAUGAGUGCUAGGUGUUGGGUCCUUUCCGGGACUCAGUGCCGCAGCUAACGCAUUAAGCACUCCGCCUGGGGAGUACGACCGCAAGGUUG
rnacentral:rRNA from 1 species